GGGCUUGUGGUUUAGUGGUAUAAUACUCCCUUAGCAUCUGCUGGGCCUCCUUCGAGGAGGCGCACGAGAAAUUGGGAGUGGUCCGGGGUUCGAUUCCCCGCGAGUCCA